rnacentral:rRNA from 1 species
UACGAAGGAUGCAAGCGUUAUCCGGAUUCAUUGGGUUUAAAGGGAGCGUAGGCGGAUUUGUAAGUCAGUGGUGAAAUCUCUGGGCUCAACCCAGAAACUGCCAUUGAUACUGCAGAUCUAGAGUACAGUUGCCGUUGGCGGAAUAUGACAUGUAGUGGUGAAAUACGUAGAUAUGUCAUAGAACACCGAUUGCGAAGGCAGCUAACGAAACUGUAACUGACGCUGAGGCUCGAAAGUGAGGGGAUCAAACAGG